GACGAACGCUGGCGGCGUGCUUAACACAUGCAAGUCGAACGGAAACGCCCUGCUUGCAGGGUACUCGAGUGGCGAACGGGUGAGUAACACGUGGGUGAUCUGCCCUUCACUUCGGGAUAAGCCUGGGAAACUGGGUCUAAUACCGGAUAGGAGCCAUUUUUAGUGUGAUGGUUGGAAAGUUUUUUGGGUGUAGGAUCAGCUCGCGGCCUAUCAGCUUGUUGGUGGGGUAAUGGCCUACCAAGGCGGCGACGGGUAGCCGGCCGGGGAGGGUGGGCGGCCACAUUGGGACUGAGAACAGGCGCAGAAACCUGCGGUGGGCAGCAGUGGGGGAGAUUGCCGAGGGGGCGCAAGCCGGGUGCAGCGAGGCCGCGCGGGGGAUGACUGAGUUCGGGUUGUAAACUCCUUUCGCGAGGGAGGAAGCAUGUCGUGCCGGCACCUAAAUAAGAGGCACCGGCGGACAAAGUC
rnacentral:rRNA from 1 species